CCGUGUGUGCCAACUGUAGGGUCACUGAGGGGUCGAGGCGAUGCCUGCAGGUGACUGUCAGCUGGGGAAUGUUAUUACUGUAGUGGAGCAUGUCUCUGCUGCCAGGUAGACUGUCCAUGGGGAAUGUUAUUACUGUAGUGGAGCAUGUCUCUGCUGCCAGGUAGACUGUCCAUGGGGAAUGUUAUUACUGUAGUGGAGCAUGUCUCUGCUGCCAGGUAGACUGUCCAUGGGGAAUGUUAUUACUGUAGUGGAGCAUGUCUCUGCUGCCAGGUAGACUGUCCAUGGGGAAUGUUAUUACUGUAGUGGAGCAUGUCUCUGCUGCCAGGUAGACUGUCCAUGGGGAAUGUUAUUACUGUAGUGGAGCAUGUCUCUGCUGCCAGGUAGACUGUCCAUGGGGAAUGUUAUUACUGUAGUGGAGCAUGUCUCUGCUGCCAGGUAGACUGUCCAUGGGGAAUGUUAUUACUGUAGUGGAGCAUGUCUCUGCUGCCAGGUAGACUGUCCAUGGGGAAUGUUAUUACUGUAGUGGAGCAUGUCUCUGCUGCCAGGUAGACUGUCCAUGGGGAAUGUUAUUACUGUAGUGGAGCAUGUCUCUGCUGCCAGGUAGACUGUCCAUGGGGAAUGUUAUUACUGUAGUGGAGCAUGUCUCUGCUGCCAGGUAGACUGUCCAUGGGGAAUGUUAUUACUGUAGUGGAGCAUGUCUCUGCUGCCAGGUAGACUGUCCAUGGGGAAUGUUAUUACUGUAGUGGAGCAUGUCUCUGCUGCCAGGUAGACUGUCCAUGGGGAAUGUUAUUACUGUAGUGGAGCAUGUCUCUGCUGCCAGGUAGACUGUCCAUGGGGAAUGUUAUUACUGUAGUGGAGCAUGUCUCUGCUGCCAGGUAGACUGUCCAUGGGGAAUGUUAUUACUGUAGUGGAGCAUGUCUCUGCUGCCAGGUAGACUGUCCAUGGGGAAUGUUAUUACUGUAGUGGAGCAUGUCUCUGCUGCCAGGUAGACUGUCCAUGGGGAAUGUUAUUACUGUAGUGGAGCAUGUCUCUGCUGCCAGGUAGACUGUCCAUGGGGAAUGUUAUUACUGUAGUGGAGCAUGUCUCUGCUGCCAGGUAGACUGUCCAUGGGGAAUGUUAUUACUGUAGUGGAGCAUGUCUCUGCUGCCAGGUAGAC